rnacentral:rRNA from 1 species
CCUACGGGGGGCUGCAGUGGGGAAUAUUGGACAAUGGGGGGAACCCUGAUCCAGCCAUGCCGCGUGUGUGAAGAAGGCCCUCGGGUUGUAAAGCACUUUCAGUGAGGAAGAACGCCUGGUGGUUAAUACCCAUCAGGAAAGACAUCACUCACAGAAGAAGCACCGGCUAACUCCGUGCCAGCAGCCGCGGUAAUACGGAGGGUGCGAGCGUUAAUCGGAAUUACUGGGCGUAAAGCGCGCGUAGGUGGCUUGAUAAGCCGGUUGUGAAAGCCCCGGGCUCAACCUGGGAACGGCAUCCGGAACUGUCAAGCUAGAGUGCAGGAGGGGAAGGUAGAAUUCCCGGUGUAGCGGUGAAAUGCGUAGAGAUCGGGAGGAAUACCAGUGGCGAAGGCGGCCUUCUGGACUGACACUGACACUGAGGUGCGAAAGCGUGGGUAGCAAACAGGAUUAGAUACCCCAGUAGUC